rnacentral:lncRNA from 1 species
AGCGGCCGGUCGGAUUAAAAGUAACCAGACUCGUCCAGAAAACUGCGUCCAGGAAGGAAGUGACAGAAGACGAAUGGGAAAAGGAGAACAGCUCACAGCGUUUGAAACAUCGCGGCACCACUUUCAGAUAAAAACAUAGACCUGAAUGGCAUCAUCCAGUAUCCAAGGAAACCAUGUUCUCUAAACAUGAAUAUGCCUUUGGGGGAAGACAGAAGAACAUGGAAGCCAUGUGAAAAAAACGGAUCCUAAGGCAGUUUUGAACAUCUGGAGGCCUGAUUUAUUGGAGAUUGCAAAUGUACAGUGUAACAUAGCUGUGGAGAGCGAGAAGAUCAGGAUUGUCAAUGCUGUCAUUGCUUUUACUGGAAUCCCCAGCACGAAUUGAAGAUCUCACAUGAGAUGGCAAAGAGGUCAAGACAAAAAUUCUGCAUUUGGGAAAAGAAUAACACAUGGACUUCCUCCUACAGGAUUAUAGGACUGUGUAUGUCCUACACACACAUUAUAUGUCCUACACGCACAGUGAUGAGGAGUGACAAAAUGAAGACUCCAGAAUCCUCUUUAUCAGAUCCUGAAUGUGCACUUUCUGAAGUGAAGUCCACUAUGUGCUGGGCACACAGAGAAUAGAGCAUGAAACAAAAGCAACAUGACCCUGCCCUCACCAAGACUACAGGGAGUGAUGGAGCAUACAACUUUGUUUCAGAAUGCAAUUCAGAUCUUCCCUUUCGCUUGGCUUCUUAAAACUUCUUUUGAGGAUGGUAAAAUUUCGUGUUAUAUUAAAUUUCAUCCUGUAACUGAUACUCUGGGAUGAUGUUGGCCAAUAACUAGCAAGACUUUAAAUAAUCAACUAGUUUAGGCAUUGCUUAGCACGCUCCAGCUGACUUCACAAGUAAAACCAUGUGAAGAAAGAAGGUUUUCAGGUAACACAGAUGGAGGUGAUGAUCUUUCUCAUUUUGUGGAAAAUAUUAAUUUCUCAUUUUUUAUUCACUGACAAUUAGUAAAAUUCCUUACUCUACCUAAUAUGUAGACUUCUGAACUAUGUAAGUAAAACUUUAUAGUAACUGAAAAGUUUGGGUAUUGUAUUUUCUUGGAGAAAAUGUUAGCUUCCCUCUGUUACUUUUAAAUGUUAAACUUUUAAUGAAUUUCAUCAAUGUAUAAUAAUGGGCAUAAUGAUCCACUCUGAAAUAUUUACUGUCAUUUUGAAUUUAUUCUUGAGUCAUCACAAACGUGUACAUCUCUUAUACCUUCAUGGAUGUUAUUGGUGAGAUGAUCUCUUGUUGUCAACACCUUGAGGAUAGGGACUUAUUCAGGCUCGCCUCUAGCAAGUGCUAAGUGCCUGGGAACACAUAAUAAAUAUUUCAUGAUAGGAGGAUGUUAGAAUAAGAGGAAAAACCAGAUUCUUACCCAAAUAAAUAAUAUUUAUUAUAUUCUUAUUUGUAUAUCAUUGUAACUGUAAAAAAAAGUUGCCUAGGGAUUUGUUUUAUUUGUACAAAUACUUGUUUUUUGUAUGUAAGAGUGCCAA